rnacentral:rRNA from 1 species
CGGAUKUACUGGACGUAAAGGNUCSGUCGGCGGCUUGAUAAGUUGCUUGUUUAAGCCUGAGGCUCAWCUUCAGAUAAGCAAGCAUACCUGUCAGGAUAGAGUCUGUUCGAGGCAAGUCGGAAUUCUUGGUGGAGGGGUGAAAUCSGUAGAUAUCAAGAGGAACACCACGCGCGAAAGCAAACUUCUAGGCACAGUACUGACGCUCAGGGACGAAAGCUUGGGUAGCAAAGCGGAUUAGAGACCCGUGUAGUCCAAGCUGUAAACGCUCCUUGCUAGUUGCCUGGACCUUGUGUCUGGGUGGCGUAAGCUAACGCGUUAAGCAAGGCGCCUGGGGAGUACGACCGCAAGGUA